CCUACGGGAGGCAGCAGUGGGGAAUAUUGCACAAUGCGGGAAACCCUGAUGCAGCGACGCCGCGUGAGUGACGAAGUACUUCGGUACGUAAAGCUCUAUCAGCAGGGAAGAAGAUGACGGUACCUGACUAAGAAGCCCCGGCUAACUCCGUGCCAGCAGCCGCGGUAAUACGUAGGGGGCAAGCGGUAUCUGGAUCUACUGGGUGAAACGGGUGCGUAGGCGGUCCGGAAAGUCAUCGGUAAAGGCCCGGGGCUAAACCCCGGCGAGCCGUUGAAACUGUCGGACUAGAGACGGCGAGAAGUACGCGGAAUGCGCGGUGUAGCGGUGAAAUGCAUAGAUAUCGCGAAGAACUCCGUUUGCGAAGGCAGCGUACCGGCGCCGGACUGACGCUGAGGCACGAAAGCGUGGGUAGCGAACAGGAUUAGAUACCCCUGUAGUC
rnacentral:rRNA from 1 species